GAUGAACGCUGGCGGCGUGCCUAAUACAUGCAAGUCGAGCGGACAGACGAGGAGCUUGUUCCUUUGACGUUUGCCGCGGACGUGUGUGUAACAUGUGGAUCACGUACCUAUCAGACUGGUAUCAUUUCGGGAAACCGGCGCUAAUCCCGGAUAAUCUAUUGAACCGCAUGGUUGAAUGGUGAGAGUCGGUUUUUCGGUCACUUAUAGAUGGUUCCGCGCCGCAUUAGCUAGUUGGUAAGGUAACGGCUUACCACGGGAACGAUGCGUAGCCGAACUGAUAGAGUGGUAGGCCACACUGGAACUGAGACACGGACCAGACUACUACGAGAGGCAGCAGUAGCGAAUCUGCCGCAAUGGGCGAAAACUUGACGGAGCAACGCCGCGUGAGUGAUGAAGGUCUUCGGAUCGUAAAACUCUGUUAUUAGGGAAGAACAAAUGUGUAAGUAACUAUGCACGUCGUGACGGUACCUAAUCAGAAAGCCACGGCUAACUACGUG
rnacentral:rRNA from 1 species